rnacentral:rRNA from 1 species
GACGUAGGGUGCAAGCGUUGUCCGGAUUUAUUGGGCGUAAAGAGCGUGUAGGCGGCCAUGUAGGUCCGGUGUGAAAACUCGAGGCUUAACCUCGAGAUGUCAUCGGAAACCAUUUGGCUAGAGUCCGGAAGAGGAGAGUGGAAUUCCUGGUGUAGCGGUGAAAUGCGCAGAUAUCAGGAAGAACACCAAUGGCGAAAGCAGCUCUCUGGGACGGUACUGACGCUGAGACGCGAAAGCGUGGGGAGCGAACAGG